rnacentral:rRNA from 1 species
GAUGAACGCUGGCGGCGUGCCUAAUACAUGCAAGUCGAGCGAACGGACGAGAAGCUUGCUUUUCUGAUGUUAGCGGCGGACGGGUGAGUAACACGUGGAUAACCUACCUAUAAGACUGGGAUAACUUCGGGAAACCGGAGCUAAUACCGGAUAAUAUUUUGAACCGCAUGGUUCAAAAGUGAAGGACGGUCUUGCUGUCACUUAUAGAUGGAUCCGCGCUGCAUUAGCUAGUUGGUAAGGUAACGGCUUACCAAGGCAACGAUGCAUAGCCGACCUGAGAGGGUGAUCGGCCACACUGGAACUGAGACACGGUCCAGACUCCUACGGGAGGCAGCAGUAGGGAAUCUUCCGCAAUGGGCGAAAGCCUGACGGAGCAACGCCGCGUGAGUGAUGGAGGUCUUCGGAUCGUAAAACUCUGUUAUUAGGGAAGAACAUAUGUGUAAGUAACUGUGCACAUCUUGACGGUACCUAAUCAGAAAGCCACGGCUAACUACGUG